GACGAACGCUGGCGGCGUGCUUAACACAUGCAAGUCGAACGGUGAAGCGCCUUCCUUUUUGGUGGGUGUGGAUGAGUGGCGAACGGGUGAGUAACACGUGAGUAACCUGCCCCCUUCUUCUGGAUAACCGCAUGAAAGUGUGGCUAAUACGGGAUAUUCUGGGUCUGUCGCAUGAUGGGUCUGGGAAAGAUAUUGUUUCGGUGGGGGAUGGGCUCGCGGCCUAUCAGCUUGUUGGUGGGGUGAUGGCCUACCAAGGCGGUGACGGGUAGCCGGCCUGAGAGGGUGGACGGUCACACUGGGACUGAGACACGGCCCAGACUCCGACGGGAGGCAGCAGUGGGGAAUAUUGCACAAUGGGCGCAAGGCUGAUGCAGCGACGCCGCGUGAGGGAUGGAGGCCUGCGGGUUGUGAACCUCUUUCGCCAGUGAAGCAGGCCUGCCUCGUUUGUGGGUGGGUUGACGGUAGCUGGAUAAGAAGCGCCGGCUAACUACGUG
rnacentral:rRNA from 1 species